UACGUAGGUGGCAAGCGUUGUCCGGAUUUACUGGGCGUAAAGAGCGCGCAGGCGGCUCGGUAAGUCUGCUGUGAAAUCUCCCGGCUUAACUGGGAGGGGUCAGCAGAUACUGUCGGGCUUGAGGCAGGUAGAGGAAGGUGGAAUUCCUGGUGUAGCGGUGAAAUGCGCAGAUAUCAGGAGGAACACCGGUGGCGAAGGCGGGUCUCUGGGCAACAACGUGACGCUGAGGAGCGAAAGCGUGGGGAGCGAACAGG
rnacentral:rRNA from 1 species